CCUACGGGAGGCAGCAGUAGGGAAUAUUGCUCAAUGGGGGAAACCCUGACGCAGCAACGCCGCGUGGAGGAUGAAGGUUUUCGGAUUGUAAACUUCUUUUGUUAGAGAAGAUAAUGACGGUAUCCAACGAAUAAGCACCGGCUAACUCUGUGUCAGCAGCCGCGGUACUACGUAGGGUGCAAGCGUUAUUCGGAAUUACAGGGGGUAAAGAGGGCGCAGGCGGGAUAGCAAGUCCGAUGUGAAAUCCUACGGCUUAACCGUGGGACUGCAUUUGAAAAUGUUGUUCUGGAGUGUGGGAGAGGUAGGUGGAAUUCUUGGUGUAGGGGUGAAAUGCGUAGAGAUCAGGAGGAAUACUCGUGGCGAAGGCGGCCUACUGGAACGUAACUGACGCUGAGGCGCGAAAGCGUGGGGAGCAAACAGGAUUAGAUACCCGAGUAGUC
rnacentral:rRNA from 1 species